GACGAACGCUGGCGGCGUGCUUAACACAUGCAAGUCGAACGAUGAACCACUUCGGUGGGGAUUAGUGGCGAACGGGUGAGUAACACGUGGGCAAUCUGCCCUUCACUCUGGGACAAGCCCUGGAAACGGGGUCUAAUACCGGAUAUCACUCCUGCAGGCAUCUGUGGGGGUUGAAAGCUCCGGCGGUGAAGGAUGAGCCC
rnacentral:rRNA from 1 species